GAUGAACGCUGGCGGCGUGCUUAACACAUGCAAGUCGAACGAUGAAGCCCAGCUUUCUGGGUGGAUUAGUGGCGAACGGGUGAGUAACACGUGAGUAACCUGCCCUUAACUCUGGGAUAAGCCUGGGAAACUGGGUCUAAUACCGGAUAGGAGCGUCCACCGCAUGGUGGGUGUUGGAAAGAUUUAUCGGUUUUGGAUGGACUCGCGGCCUAUCAGCUUGUUGGUGAGGUAAUGGCUCACCAAGGCGACGACGGGUAGCCGGCCUGAGAGGGUGACCGGCAACACUGGGACUGAGACACGGCCCAGACUCCUACGGGAGGCAGCAGUGGGGAAUAUUGCACAAUGGGCGAAAGCCUGAUGCAGCGACGCCGCGUGAGGGAUGACGGCCUUCGGGUUGUAAACAUCUUUCAGUAGGGAAGAAGCGAAAGUGACGGUACCUGCAGAAGAAGCACCGGCUAACUACGU
rnacentral:rRNA from 1 species